AGACACUACAAAUUUUUAAUGUCAAAAAACCAAACAAGUAAAAACAAGUAAUUUCCUAAGAACAUACACAAUCUGGUGUUGGUAGUUUUUCAUGGGAAAAUGCUUCACUCCAGUGUGUGAGCCUGUUCCUAAGGUAACUCAUGGCAGAUGGGGUGAGAGGAAAAACUCACAGGAUAAUUACAAAGCCUCACUUAUCAACCUGCUCCUAACUGUGCUUUGGAGUGGUAGGCAAACAUGCAAAACACCGAACCACUCUGUAUUUUUAUGAUGCUUUGAAGUGCGAGUUCCAAAGAAAUUUUAACUCGCAUGACUUCAGCAUUUCCAUAGCUGGGUAGUGCUGGUGUCUCGGGGCAACAGCCACCAUCUGGCUUUCCAGAAAGAAGUCCAAAACAGAGGGUCUAGUUGGAGAUACCAUGUUCUUAAUCAAGAGAACUGGGCAAAGGAGGGAGCUUGGGAAGUCUUGAUGGGUAAAUCCCACCAUGGUCCUUCUCAUGUCCUAAGGGAUAUUCCCACCAUGCAACCUUCGGUGCUCCAGGGUGGCAUCUUGGAAGCACAAACAGGUUGGUAGAAGGGGAACCAUCAUCCCUGAUGCAUUUCAGAGGUGAUUUUUCAGGGAUCCUUUAGUUGGGGUACGCUCCCUCUUUCAGCCAAGCGUGUGUGUUUCCCACUUUUCUGAUAUUGCUCUCCAGAGUGGAGUGGCAACAGGAGAUGCUGAGUGUCAACCCUGGGGAGCCUCUGCCAUCAGCAGAUGCAGGUGUUGGCAAGUGCAGGCAGGCUGCUAAAAAUAUCCUGCGUGCUUUAUUCUUGCUUCAAAGGCCAUUAAGUAUUUCUAUGAGAGCCUUUUUCAUCUUCAGCAUGGAGAUCUGCCUAGUACUCCCACGCAUCCUUUAUAAUCCCUGGAAUCUCAGGUUCUUCCAAACUGGGAUAUCUGGGCUGAAGAUCUGAGAAACAAAACCUUUAGUGCUGUGUGGCAGCACUGGGAAAUUUAGGCAAUGAAAGUGAGUUUCUUCCCCUUUUAGACAUCCUUGCAACACUAAUUCUACUGAGUGCAGGCUGUGGGUUUACUUCCUGUAUCUGCAGAGAGCACAAUCAAAUCCAAUUACACUUCACACGAGCAUAAUCCACAUAUGUGACUUUUUCAUGCAGACUAUUUAGGUCUGCUUCACAAAUAGCAGAGGGGUGUUGCAAGGAAGUGUCGUCUCACAGAACCCAACACACCCAUGCCUUAAAAACAAAAGCACAUUGCUUUCCUCUCAGCCACUUCAUUCCCAGUGUGUGCUCUGUGAUUCCUCGUAGCCCUGUGAUUCCUAGCAGCCCGGGUGUUUUUAGUCAUCCUAAUGUGUUUGCUUAGGCACCAACAUUAGUGUCAAAAGCACUUAAUGCAAAGGAAACUCCCCAGGAGUGCACAGCUCCCUGCCAGAUCCAUCGGUGCAGCGUUUAUUACCACGGGCUGGGUAAUGAAUUACCCUCUGAUUCUGAGGGCUGCUUCCCACUAGGCCAGAUGGGGGAAUAAAACUGCUGGGCCCUGUGGCAAGCACAUUUCUCUCCCUCUCAGGAUUUUUGAUAGAGGUGCACAGAGAGAAAUGAAAGAGAAAAUAAUUUCUAUUUCUGCUCCUUGUUUUUCCUAUGUGGAAUGUGUUUGGAGAAUUGUUUACCUGGGGUGAUUGCUUGAUUGGAUUCUGGUGAGGAUUGUUUGAGCCUGAUGGCCAAUCCAACCCACCUGGGGCUGGACUCAAGAGAGAGGGUCACAAGUUGUGUUAGAGUCAGAGAAAGUAGUAUGUAGUUUUAGUAUCCUCCUUUUAUAUAGCAUAUUGAUGUAUUUUAGCAUAGUUAUAAUAAAUAGAUAAUUCAGCCUUCUGAACUGAGUCAGACAUUGUCAUUUCUUCCCAUUGGGUUUGCCUGCAUUUACAAUAGGGCCCCAUAUUGACAGGCUGAGCGGGUUGGGGUUUAACAGCCUGGGAAACAGAAGGUUUUGGGGACACUUCAUUGCAUCUUCCAGUACAUAAAGGGGGCUGGCAAGAGAGCGACUUUGGACAAGGGCAUGGAGUGACAGGACAAAGGGGAAUGGCUUUAAAACUGAAGGAGCUUGGAUAUUAGGAGGAAAUUCUUGACUGUGAGGGUGGUGAGGCACAGGCUGCCCAAACAGGUUGUGGAUUCCUUGUUUCUAGAAGUGUUCCAGGCCAGGCUGGAUGGGGCUUGGAGCAACCUGGGAUAGUGGAAGGUGUCACUGCCCAUGGCAGGAGGCUGGAACCACAUGAUCUUUAACGUUCCUCCAGUCCAAACCAUUCUGUGAUUCUAUGUUAGGUGGCUGUGGGUCCUCGUGCACUCACAUCAGCCUCCAGUGACAAUAAAUCUGAGAUGAGGAUGGAAAUGUUUAUUCUUGACUGAUGCUGUGAUCUCGUUUUGAGCAGAUGAUUCAAACCUGUGACACAGUGACAUCCUCCCACCCUGGAGUCUAUUCAUGAAAACUCUCAUUUCCCAUCAGGCUAAUUGGGGCUGGGUAACUGUGGCUGAGCCCCUGGGAACCCCUGGCAAGGUGCCUGACCCCUUUCCCAGCCCCUGGCAAUGACUCCAGUUUUUCUCCUGUGCCCCCAGCUGUUUUGCAGUGCAAGCAGCUCAGUUUGGAAGUGAGGCUUUAAACCAGGCUUACCUGAGCCUAAAUGUGGGUUUUGGGGCAGAGGAUUUAGCCAAGAGCCUUCUCAUGUGACCCCAUCUUUUAGUAAGCCACUGCCAGGCUCUGUCUGUGGGCUCUCCUUAGGCAAAUGGAGGCCUGGCUCACUCACUGCUUUAAGAAACCCUCUUUCCUUCAUGAUUUGUUUGCUGCUUUGAUUAAUUUUUUUUUCAAGUUUCAAGUCUUUGAUGUAAAGGAAACAGUUAAGAGGAAUUUGAGCUGAGCUGUGGAGGUGAAGAAGUAGUCGGAGAUUCCAUUUCAAUCUGCUACUGGAGUUUUGAAGGCAACUCUUAAUCAUUUUUCUUUUCUAAUCUCUUCUUUCUUCCCCCUUUGUAGCAGAAAAUGAGCUUUCCUGGGAUUUCUGGCUAUCACAUCGUGCUGGAGGUGUGUGAAUCUUCUCUGUGCCCACCAGGAUUUGUUGCUUUGCUGUCAGAUCAGCUCUGCCUGUGGGGGUGCCUCCAGCCUUCCUUCCAUGCAUUCUGUCUUCCCUGGAGC
ensembl:lncRNA